rnacentral:lncRNA from 1 species
UUCCAUCAAAAUAACCCUCAAAGUCUACAAUCAUCAAAGUAACCCUUAAACUUACCAUCAAAAUAACCCACAAAUCUACAACCAUCAAAAUAACCCAUAAAAUCUACAACUAUCAAAAUCAAGCAUCUUCUUCGUCAUUAACCGAUUGAUUCAUCUAAUUCAUCAUCAUAAUGAGGAUGAGAACUAUGACGAGAAUGACCACUACAAGAGCAUGACUCCAAAGCCAUCAUGCGUCUACUGAAUUCUCCAAACUUCAUUUCCAAGUUUUGUGUCCGUUCUUGAGCUUUAGCAGCAUCGUCUUCAGCUUUAGCAGCUCUCGCAUUUGCCGCAGCUCUAGCAGCAUCAGCAUCUGCNNNNNNNNNNNNNNNNNNNNNNNNNAUGUUCCCUAAUGUGAGUUUCCUCUGCCUCAUAAGUCAAGUGUGUGACACCAUGAAUAAGGUUUACAGCCAAGUGCCCAGUUCCAUAACACCUUCCCCGAGACUUACCCCCAGAAACAUCUUUCCAUAAAUAAAGUUACAUCGUCUCUUGAUAAUUUCAUUGAUCACAAUUAAAAAGCCUACAACUAAAAAGGCCACACUUUUAUUGGACCUAAGCACUAUAUAUAGUCCACUGCAUUAUUCAUUAUAUUUUCAUUGAUUUCCUUGAGACAAUUGACUAUAUCUUCCAUUCAGUGAAAUUACUAUAAGUGAAUCCAAACAUGAACUAACUCAAAAUUAAAAGACAAGAGAUUAAGGAACACACUUGUUAGAACAUGAAGUGCAGAAAUUAACACCAACAAUGUUG